rnacentral:pre_miRNA from 7 species
AUUAAUCUGCUCCUGGAAAUAUGCCACUAGCCUUGGAUGACAGCCUCUGUAAGACCCCCUUUCGGGGACUGCCACUCUAGCCUCAGGAGAGAGAGAGAACCCAAAGAAACACGAGAAUCC